rnacentral:lncRNA from 1 species
AGGUAAUUAAUUUCGUAGAAGCAUUAUAUUAGGUACAUAGUAGCUAAUAAAUAGAAAAUUAGCCGAUUUUGCUUUCUAGUGUAAUAUUUAUUUGUAAAAGUAACAAAACAACUAUAUUUUAUCGUUGAAGGAAAAGUUACGUCAAGGUCAAUUGAGUAGGUUGAAUAUAGUAGGUUGAAAUGUGAGAGUAUUAAAAAGAGAGUCCCACUCAAGUGUGUGUAGUUGUUUAGUCAUAAUACCUAAGUAUUAUUGUUGUAUUUUAUAUAUUAUUAGUAAAUAUCAAACGGUCUUAAUAAUAAUCGAAGUAGGUAAUUUUGAACAGAAUAAAGUAUACCUAAAAUUCGAAAAUACAAAAUCUUGGGUCGAAGCGUGUAGAACGAUUUUAGUCGUGAACAAUAUAAAUACAUCUACUAUGAAAUAUGUAGUACAUUUAGGUAAAUACUCUGCAUACGAGUAACCGUAUAAAUUCACGAUAAGAUUAUGAGAACGGAAUAAUUUACCAUGCAAAUGAAAGAACAAUGGAUGUUACUAACAGCUGUACAAGUCUGUUUUGAAACGACACGUAGGCACACGCAAAAUUUCAUGACUAGAAUCUAAGUAUAUUUAAUACGGCAGUGUGUAUAUAAAUACGUAAUAUUAUUUAACAGUAGGUUGGAUUAAAGUUAUAAUGCGUAUAUUAUAUAAAAUACAGAAAUAGCGGAUUUCUUUUCAUCAAAAAUGUGUUAAAAGUUUUGACGUAUAAGUAUAUGAACAGCUGUUCAAUAAGAUAUAGAAAAUAAAUAUGAAUGGUUUGGGCGUGUUAGAUAAAGUGGUAGAGACAGUAGGACGUCGAGUACUUACUUGAUAUAUCUUCAAUACGUAAUAUUAUAAAUCAGUAGGUUGAUUCAAGUUAUAACGUAUAUUACGUAGAAAUACGAAGCCGAAUGAAACGAAACAUAAAAAAUUAAAAUGGCGGAUUUUUAUUUAUCUUAUCAAUGACGUGUAAAAAGUUUUGAGGUAUUUAUAUGAACAGCUGUUCAAUAAGAUAGAAAAAUAAAAAUUCCAAAUUACAGAUAGUUGGGCGUGUCAGAUAAAAUGGUAGAGACGGGUAGUCGAGUACUUGAUAAAUCUGUUAUUUUAGGUAUUGUUAUCUUGAAUAUGCAAUAAUGCAGUAUGUUUUUUUAACAGUGAUUUAUGAGAAUUUUGACAGGGAAACAGUUUAUUGAUUAUCUAAGAAAUACAAUAUAAAUGUACCAAAUUAGGAUGGAUUGGGCGUCAUAUAAAAUAGAGACAGUAGGUAAAGUGUUUGACUAUAUAGUAAUUAAUCUUGCAUUAUAAGUAUUGGUGUCUACGAUAUUCGAAAGAACAAUACAAUUUUAUUUUUAACAUUGACAUAUAUAUAUAUAUAUUUUUUAUAUUUAAGCAACACUUUAUUUUUUAUCGAAAAUAUAAAACAAAAUUGUUAUAAAAUAUGGAAAGAGGUAGGGCGUGGCGGAUGCAAUGAUAGGGACAGUAGACAAAGUCGUCGACUAUUUGAUUCUUUUUUAAAUAAUUCUAUCUGCAACAUUCAAUAGUUUAGAUUUUUUUAAUUCAACAAUUACGUAUGAUGUUUUUACAUUUAAACAUAAUAAUAGGUAAAUUAAUAAAAAAUGAAACAAAAAUAUUUCAAAUUACGGAUAGUUUGGGCGUGUCAGACGAAAUGGUAGAGACAGUAGGCAAAGUUGUUGACUACGACGUGAAGUGUGAACCAUUUAUUUUUACUGUUUAAUAUUAAAUAAUACGUAGGGAUUUUUAAUUUUAACAAUGACAUUAAAUUCUUGAUUUUGAAAAUAGCAAUAAGUCAUUUAAUAUCAAACAAAAGAAACAAAAAUAUUCCAAAUUAUGCAUAGUUUAGGUUGUCAGAUAAAAUGGUAGAGACAAUAAGUAAAGUCGUUGACUACUUGUUAUAUUCUUUUUUGUAGGAGGUCGUAGAAACAAAAUUGUGAACAUAUUUAAUAAUACAGCAGACAGAUAAUUAGGUAUUAAAGGAAUAAAUUGGGAAACGUAUAAGAAAUAUAUUUUGGAUCACUGACAAGGAAUUUUGAAUAAAUUUAUCUAAAAAAAUCUGUAGAAAUUAAAAGUUUAAAUUAAAUUUCUAAUAUUUUAUGACAAAUUAUUUCUUAAAUUUUUAUUGUGAUUGUAUGUAUUUAGUACUCGGUAGGUUAUUUUAUUUAUCACAAAGUUAAAAACGUUCGUAUUAAGUUUAUUAAGCAUCAAAAGAAUACAACUAUCAGGUAAUAUUAUUAAAAUAGGUUCAAUUAGCUUUUAUAUUUAUUUUAUACAAUAUGUACCGACAAAAAUGUUUGGGAGAAUGAGUAAUCGUAGGAAAAUAUAAGGUUUUUAUUAUUUAUACUAAUGUACGGAAAACUGAAUAUUUAUUAAAAUUAAUAUUUUAUGCAUAAGACGAAUACAACCAUCAGAUAAUCUAUUGAAAUAUAAUUAGGUUGAAAUAGGUUUUAUAUUUAUUUUAAUUUAUUAUCUACCGACAAACAUUUUUGAGAGAAUGACUUAUCAUAGGAAAACAUAAGUUUUUUUUUAUUAUUACUAAUGUACUUAAAAUGUACUCUGACAACUAUUCAACAUUUAUUUAAAUACUUUAUAUUAUGCAUAAAACGAACACAACUAUCAGAUAAUAUAAUUCCAUUGAAAUUUAAUUACAAAGUUUAAAGUUAUAGUUAUUUUAGUUUAUUAUCUACCGACAAAAAUAUUUGGGAGAAUGACUUAUCGUAAGAAAAUAUAAGGUUUUUAUUAUGACUAAUGUACUUAAAAUGUACUCUGACAACUUUUGAACACUUAUUUAAAUUCAAAAUAUUAUGCAUAAAACGAACACAACUAUCAGAUAAUAUUAUUCCAUUGAAAUAUAAUUGGUUGAAAUAAGUUUUAUAUUUAUUUUAAUUUAUUAUCUACCGAAAAAAAUGAUUAUGUGAAUGACUUAUUGUAGGAAAAUAUAAGGUUUUAUUAUUACGUAUGUACUUGAAAUGUACUCUGACAACUGUUAAACAUUUAUUUGAAUACAAUAUAUAUAUAUAUAUAUAUUUACGUUAUACAAACAGCCAACUUGUAAUACAUCGAUAUCAUGAUCGAGUUAUAUGUUCUAGAAGUAUACACAUAUACAAAAUUAAAUUUUAAAAUACUACAGUUACGGUUUACUUGUUCAGAACAACAGAAACAUAAAUUGGAGGUAGACAAACUAACGCCAUACAAAUUUGAGCCUUUAAUAAAAGACUUUAAUACAUCUAAAAAAUUUAUAGUGAUUAAGAUUUUUUAUGUAAAAAUGAUAUUUUUGUAUUUUAUAAGAAAACUCAAUACCUUAAGGAGAGUCUAAUGCUACGAGAAUAUAUAGGUAUAAGAAAAUUAUUCACAAUAUGUUUCAAAAAAAAUAUUUGAUUGGUUUUAUUAGUUGAGUUUAACAUUAGUAGGCAAAGACAAAAAUUACAUUCGGUGAUUUAUUCGUUAUAAAAAAUUUGGGGUUCACGUUGAUUAAACUACAUAACUUACAUGUUUUUUAAUUAAUUUAGGACACAGUCAUUUACUAAAUUAAAUUACGAGCUAUGUAUACAAAAAGGCCUAUAGGGCCAUUUAUAAUCAUUAAAAUUAGAUACCAGCUAACAAUAACGAGCAAAUGAUUGGACGUUAAAAAUUAUAGUAAUAUUUAUAUACGAAAAGAAUUAGGAAAUAAGAAAAUAAAUAUUACAAUUAAUGAAUAAUAAUACCAGCCAGUAUUUAUUUAUUUUUAAUUUCGCCGUAUUAUACGUUUUCUUUAUAUUAAACGCACAUCUAUAUACCAAAAAGUACGCAAUAUUUAACUGGGUUUAGUUACAUAAGUAUACACGUAUUUGUAAAUUAAAGUUUCGUAUAGGAUAGGAUAUUAAUAGCAGCCACGUAUUUUUUUAAUAUUAAAAAUAAAAAAGCUUGGAUAUAACCCUAUCGUAGACUAAUAAAUAAGAGACGGGAACCAUUAUUAAACCAAAGAAAAAAGAAACAAUAUCGAAGGAGAUUUCAAUUACAAGAAAAUGUUGGUCGUAUGAGGUGCAAUAAUAUUAUCAUUCGCAAAUAUAAGUUAUCUUAUAUUAUGUAACAUAAUCGAAACGCAAAAUAAGUACUUAAUAAAAUAGGCAAUUUAUUACUAUGAAGAGUAGACUCAAGAAAGAUUUGUAAUCAUUGUUUUUUUUAAUUGGCCGAAUAUACCUUUUUCAAUAAUUAAAAGGUUUUAAAAUUAAAUAAUGGAUAAUAAUAUGUAGGUAAGAUUAAAUAAUAUAUUUUUUAAAGAAAGAAAAUGCGUAAAUAUUGACCCCAAAGUUAUUACAGAUUCGUGAUAUCAACAGGAAAUGUGAUACACAAAUUAAAUUACUUAUAGGCGCAAACAUAUUACUUACAUACCUACAUAUAAUAUAUUUUUAUUUUUCUCUACAUUCUCAAAGUACAACAUAAAGCAAAGGACAGGAAAAGUUAUUAUUUAUUAGAAAAGUAAGGACGAAAAUUAUGAUUAAAUAAACAGUUAACACUUAGAAUUUUACGAGGACAUUUCAAGCAUCUUAUUAGUAAAUAAUUAUUGAAAAACAGGAGCGUGAGUUACUAAUAUGUAUUCGAUAGAUUCUUUACAAACGCAAAUAUAUAUUUUUAUUAUAUUUUUCAUGUAUAGACGAAAUAAGUAUAUGAUACAUUAAAAAGAUAGAAUUAGUUCGUAAAGAUGAGAAUAGAAUUAUUUAAAUAGCUAUUACUGAUAAAUGAAAGAUAUUUAUUUACUCUAACCUAACUGAAGUUUUGUCAUAUAAAAAAUAGGGAGUGAUUUAAGAGUAGGUAAAUUUAUCCAAAAAGAGAGCUAAGUACUUAUAAUGUAUAAUAUUUUUUAUGAAAGUUUUGAAACAGAAGAAAGAUUAUGCAACAACGAUGCAAAAAUAAAGAGGCAGGAAGAAGAUUGUUUAUAUUUAGGUAAAUUGCUUAAAAUACUUGAGUUACAAAUCAUAGACACAUUAUUUUGAUUUACCAAUUGUGAUGAUUUUUUAUCGUACCAAACAUUUAUAUUAAAAGAGGUAGGGUCAGGGAAAAACUAUAUUUUAUGGUCACAAUUAUAUUUUUUAUUUUAUACUAUAGUUAGGUACCAAUAAUUAUGUAACAAUGUUAGAGAAAAUGGAUUUAUUGGAAAAUAAGAGAGAAAGCUUUUUUGAAAAUUUAAAUUAAAUUGCUCCUUAAUCAAUAAACAGCGGGUAUUCAAAAUAAUUUAAACUAUCUAGUAAUAAAAUAGGCGACUAUAAAUAUUGUGUAGAUAAAUAUUGAAAUAAGAACUUAAAACCGUACACAUAUACAUUUUACCAAUAGCCAAACAAAUUUACAUACAUAACAAUAUGCAAAGGUGUACCAGGUUGACAGCUCUUUUUAUAAAAGAAGCUAUAACAAUAGAUAGGAAUAACGUAUUCCGAAAUCAUUAGAAUUUAUGGUGGAAUUAAAAUACACACUUUUAUUUGUAGAAAAAUUCCAAUUACCUGAUUUAUUCAUUGGAAAUACAUGAUAUUUAUUUUUAUCUCAAUAGGAAAAAGGAUAUGACGUAUAAUAUGAAAAUAUACAAAUAUGUUCCGCGGUUCUUAAAAUAGGAUUAACCACGGAUAGGAAGAUCGUAUUUAGGCAUAAAAGAUGCCUUUGUAAUAUUUGUAGGAGAUAUAUGCAAAUGCUAAAUUUAAAAAUUUACGAGGUACUAAAAAAAUUAUUAGCUAUAAGUAGUAUAAAAAAGAGUACAAAAAUAGAGCAUUCUAUACAUACAAAGCUACAAAUACCUACAUUAUAUAUUAAACGUAGACAUAAACCAAAAUACAUCCUGUAAAAUAUAGAAACGAAUAUUAAAAAAGGUUUCCAUAAAAGAAAAUGACGAUUUGAAUACAGUAAUUACGUGCAUUUCUAGUGAUAUUUAUACUAAGUAAGAAAAAAAUUCGAGAGGACGUUUAAGAAAGCUUACAGCACGAUAAUUUUAAUGUUACAAAGAUAUUUUGAUCCCUUUGUCUGUAAUAGCAAAGUGUAAUAUAUUUAUUAUUAUAAUAUAGGUACCUACUCUACGAUACCCAAUAUCACAUAGAGGUGAAGUUAUAUAUCGAAAUAUAUAUUAUUCUUAUUACGAAGUCGUAAUAUAAUAUACAAAAAAUCUGUAACAUGUGAUUAUAAUAUUUAAAUGAGAAAGUAUACAAAAGAGUUCUAUAAAAAUUACAAGAAUAUGAUAAUUUUCGUAUGAACAAAAUAUUUUAAAUAUAUAUAUAAUACAAUAUUCGAUAAGGUAGUUAUAUAAUAAAUUUAUUUUAAGUUAUAUAGUAUAUUUAAUAAUUGACUCCUGUUUAGUCUGACAAAUAUGGAUUCUAAACAAAUUUAGAAUGCAAGUUGAAAGGGUUAGGAUGAAUUGAAAAUUGAAAAGCUUAGAACAAAUCGAUAAGGUAAUGCAGAGGGACAGCGUGACAAAUAUAGUUACACAGUUAACUAAAAGUUCGAGACACAUUGAAUACGAAAAAUAUUAUAAAACAAAAAGGAGAGUAGAGCCUACACAGAUUUUUGAGAAAAUCGAUUUGACUAGGUACGGACACGUUUAUUUUUAUUUAUCUAUUAUAAUGAUGAUAAAGAUUGUUUUACAAUAAAAAUAUUAGAAACAAAAUAAAUAUUUUAUAUAUAUAAUUGUAUCAAAUAAGUUGGAAAUAGCUAAGCACAAGAAGCAAGAGUUAUUUAUAUUGAGUAUUACUCAAACGAAAUUCCAUCCGAAAGCGGUCAUCGAAUUCCAUUCAAAAAUAAAAAUGAAUAUGAAGAUUAUUAUGAGAUACUACUUAUUUAUCCAAAAUUGAACAUAUCACUGACUUACCAGAUGAAUUAUUAUACUAAUAAAUACAAUACGUUCAAUAUUGCUAUAGCGGAAUAUUAUACGUUUUAAAUUUAUGUCAGAAAUAUUAUAUCUUAUACCUAUUUGUAGAAAACAUUUUAUAAAUUGUAUGAACUUAAAGUAUUGAAACACAAUUUAUUAAUUGAUAUAAGUUCUAUGGAACGUAGUAUGCAAUCUAAACUAUUUAUAUUCAUUUAGAAGUAUCAUAGGUCGAGAUCCCUUUAGCAUUGUUGAUUAUAUGAAAAUAUUAAGGAUUAGUUCAUUUAGAAGGUAUGAAAGAGGCAGAAAUAUGCGUAAAUAUUCGGUUUUUAUUUAUUUUCGUUAUGUAGUACAGUCUAAAUUUUGAUCAUUUUUUUUUAUUAAUCGUUGAGUGAGAAGUGGUUAAGUGUUGAGAGUGGAUUUGUGGGUUUUGUGCAGUGUUUUAUACAAAAGAGGUUAAAUAUACUAAAGUUCGUUUACGAUUUAAAUUCAUACAAGUUUUCAUAAUAAAAAAUAGUUAUUGGGAGGUGUCGUGUAAAAUUUAUUAUUGAAUUAUUAUUUUAACUAUUAAUAGUAAUUUAAAGGUGCUAUAGUGGGUGAAAAAAAUUGAAGUUAUUUACUAACUAGUUAGCGCAAAAUAGCCUUGGAAAAGUAUAGAAUUAGUGAUUCAUAGCGUGACCUCUACGUAAAAUUUCACAAUACAAUGUAAAAGUUUGAAAUAAGUGAAGUGUAAAGUUCAGAGCCUUAUUAAUUUAUUAUUUUCAUGUGUGAAGUGAUAAUUAAAUGAAUGUGUGUAAAAGUUAAAGUGAGUUAGAAAUAUAAUAUCUGAUAUAUAAAGUUUGAUCCUAUGAGUAUCGUGUCAUUGUUAUUUAAAAAUAGAACAAUAAAAAUUAAAACAUAAAAAUAAUUUAUUUGACAGCUUAGCAAAUGAUUCCAUUUCAUUUUUAAAUUCAAAUUCCGAAUUCUUACAUAAAACAUUAUUUUAUAAGGACGACUACAACGAAAUAAUAUUAUGUUAUGUUUCAAAGUAAUAGGAGCCACGUAUUUUUAUAAGUAUAGAAUUGUAUAUUCAUGAAAAAAUAUAGUAGGCGAAAUAACUUGUUUAUGGAAGUGAUAGGACACUCAUAAAAGAUAUUACUGCGACUAGAAUAGACAAGCAUACAUCUUUAAUAUAGUAAAUGAUAUAAACACAUAAGACAUUAUAUAGGCUAUGAAUUACUGAUAAUUAUUUUUUCAAACGACAAACAAACAGACGGCUAUGCGGCAAGUUUUCGAAAAGUAUAUAUAAAACUGAUAUAUUAUAUGUAGUAUACCUGAUUAUAGUUUUUGAUAUAAAUAGUGAAAUAUUGUGCUACAUUCGUACGGAAUUUCAUGUUGUGAUAUAAGGUUUGAAAUAAGUGGUGUGAAUAUUAUUUGGGUUAUUUAGUAGCUUAAAAUUGAUAAUUAGGUAAUUUAAGUGUCAAAAUUGAUGACGAAUUUGAAAUAGUAAAACGUGCUUUAUUUCUGAAUAAAAUUUCAUAAUGUGUUAUAAAAGUUUGAAAUAAGUGACGUGAUAAGUGUGGCUUUAUUUAUUAUUAUUAUUCUAUAGAUCAAGCUAAGGAUGCAAUAGUGCGUGAGAGGAAAGCAACACUUAAUAAAGUGUGAAUAAAAGAUAGCGUUUGUUAAAUUAAAUACAAAAUUGAAACAGCGAAAUAUGACGCAUCAUGUGGAUAAAAUUUCAUAAUAUGAUGUAAAAGUUUGAAAUAAGUGACGUGAUAGGUGCAGCAUUAUUUAGUAUUAUUGCGUGAGAGGAAAUCGAUACUUAAUAAAGUGUGAAUAAAAGAAAACAUAUGUUAAAUCGAAUACAAAAUUGAAACAGCGAAACAUUACGCUAUAUGUAAAUGAAGUAAAAUUUUGCAAUAAGUGAAGUGAUUAAUAGGUAUACCUUUAUUAAAUAUUUUUAUUCAGCGGCAGAAAGUUAUAAUAGUGCGUGAGAAGAAAUCAAGGCAGUUUAUUGACAUGAAAAAAAAAAAUAAAGUAAUUAAAUAGUGAUGAAUAGUGCUAUAUCUGAAUAACAUGUUUAUAUGAUAUACAAAUUUGAUUUAAGAGACGUGAUACGUGCGGCAUUAUUUUAUUUAUUAUUCUAUAGAUCAAGCUAAGGAUGCAAUAGUGCGUGAGAGAAAAUCGAUACUUAUAAAGUGUGAAUAAAAGAUAGCGUUUGUUAAAUUGAAUACAAAAUUGAAACACCGAAAUAUGACGCAUCAUGUGGAUAGAAAUUUCAUAAUAUGAUGUAAAAGUUUGAAAUAAGAGAUAUGAUUAAUAGGUACAGCUUUAUUUAAUAUUAUUAUUCAGCGGCACAAAGUAUAAUAGUGCGUGAGAGGAAAUAACAGUUUAUUGACGUGACAAAAUUUAUAAAUUAAUUAAAACAGUGAUGCAUUGCUCAAUAUCUGAAUAAAAUUUCAUAAUACGUUAUAAGUAAAGUUUGAUAUAAGUGACGUAAUAAAGCAAGCUAAGCUUGCAAUAGUGCGUGAGAGGACAUCAGUAUCUACUUUAUUAAGGGUGAAUAAAAGAAAGCGCUUAAGAAACAUUAAGCUAUAUGUGAAUAAAAUUUCAUAAUAUGAUGAAAAUAAUUGAAAUAUGCGACAUGAUUAAUACGUACAGCUUUAUUUCAGAUAAUUAUUCAGCGGCGCUAUAUUUUAAUAAAAUUUCAUGAUGUGAUAUAAAAGUUUGUAAUAAGUGACGUGAUAGGUGCGGCAUUAUUUAGUAUUAAUAUCGUAUAGAUCAAGUUAGGGAUGCAAUAAUGUGUGAGAGGAAUGUUAUAUUACAUGCUAGUUAAGGAGACCGUACAAUUGGAGUCAUAAUUAAAAAGAGAGAAACAUUACGCCAUAUGUGGAUAAAAUUUCAUAAAUUGAAGUAAAAUUUUGAAAUAUGCGACGUGAUUAAUAGGUGCAGCUUUAUAAAAUAUUAUUAUUCAGUAGUACAAAGGUACAAUAAAGCGUGAGAGGAAAUCAAAGCAGAUUAUUGGCGUGACAAAAUUUAUAAAGAAAUUAAAUUAGUGAUGCAUAUAUAUUUUAAUAAAAUUUUAUAAUAUGAUGUAAAAAUUCAAAUGUGAUGUAAUUAAAUAUUCUUAUUUAAUAGCACGAAAGUUCCAUAGUGCGUGAGAUGUUACUUAAAAUAGUGAACCUUAGUCAUUGCACAUUUAGACCUAAAGUUUCAAAUUAUAUUUAAAAGUUUGAAAUACGUGAAGUGAUUAAGUUAUGGCAUUAUUAAAAUUCGUUUUUUUCGUUCAUGGUGUGUUUGUAAUAAAAUUAAUGUGGUAAAAAUUGAAAGUGAAACGAAAUACAACUUAUAUCAGAAAUUAUAUACGUCCUAGUGUCGGUGGAGGAUUUAUAUAUUUUAAAAUUACUCAGAAUCCAUAACAUAAUGUAUAUUAUGUAUGAUACAUAUUUUCAUUUUAAAAGGGCAUAGAGAAUUUUAUGAGGACCGCCGAUAUAUUGUGUUAUUAUGAAGUACCCACCUUGAAGUUUUUACCAGUGAUUCAUCAUUAUUUUUUAAUGUUCAGCGACAAUUUUAUGUAUAAUAAUGACUAACCAAAUCCUGAUGACAUAUUAACAAAGACCAGUAUUAUUAGAAGAUUAAAUUUAAUAUUGACAACAUAAUAUUAAAAACAAAGUUCCCUUACUACUAAAAAAAUAUUUUCGAAUAAUUUGGAAAUUUAAAUUUUUCAUGGAAUAUACUCGAAGUGACAGCUUAUGAGAGGACAGUUAUGCGGCUAGAUUACAAAAAUAUCCGUUUAUGAGGAUUGAAGCUAGAAAAUAUUCAGAAAAAUCAAAUAGAGUCAGCAACACUGUUAAUUGGCACACAUACAACUACAAACAAAACAAGACGUAUUAAACAAACAUUUUAGCUACUCAGCUAUCUUAUUCUGAAGAAUUACAAAAUAAACAGGGAGAUAUUUUAUCACUAAAGUAAUAAAGUAAUAGCGCGACAUAAGAAAUUUUAUCAGGAUGUAUUAAGAUAUAAAUAUUUACACCAUGAUAACAAUUAUUUUGAGCAAAUAUACAAUUUAUAGACAAGAAAUAUUUUGAUGAGUUAUGUGUAAAUACACAUUUUAUGGAAAUGUUUUGAUGAGCUAUAUAUUUAUUUAUUUCAUAUUCAUAAUCAUUUACUGGCUGAAUACUGAUACUUAUUACCUUAUUUUAUAAUAAUCUCUCCGUUAAAGAAUCAUUUAGAUUCAUGAAAUUGUGCGGAUUAUUGAUAUUAUUCAAGAUUUCAAAAAACUACAGUCGGAACGACCCGUUAUUUAUUUAACAAGAACUAUUUUUGAAAGAGAAUAUGAAGAAUUCAAUCGCAAAUAUCAUCAUCACAAACACGGACUCACGUGAUUUUAAAACUAACACACUGAAUGUAUAGUUAUUAGGUGAACUAUAUUCUAAAUGCCUUGAAAUUCGAGUUAUUAUAUACACGUUUAUGAUGUAACUAUGACAUAUAGUUUGCUCAACACUGCAUAGAAGUCAUAAUAAAUGAUUUGCCUAUACAUUGUAAUGAUUAUAGAAGUCUUUAGGCACGAAUACAUAACGAGAAGAGAUUUGAUCGGAUAAUUAUCAUUAUAGAGUAAUUUGCCAAUUUAUGGAAAAUAUUUAUUCUUGGCUAAAGGAUUUCAAAACACUACAUUUCGACUACGAAUAUAACUAAAGAGACGUAAUUUGUAUUACGUGAUCUUAGAAUAUACAAAAAGAAAAGUUUGUGCGAAUUUAUGCUGAUAAAUGGAUGAGCGAAGCGUGAUUAAAUUUAACAAAAGCUAAGAUUGCAAACUCUUCGAAGUUUUAUAACUAUAAAAAAAUAUAUUACAUGAAUUACAUAUAUGCUUAUUUACGAGACAGAUUGCAUUUCCUGGCUCAGAGUAAUAUUUAUUUAAUAAUAAAUAAAUUGAAUGCAAUUAAUUUUAUGUUAUUUAUCAACUAAUGCGGUGGCUAUUUUUAUAUAUUGUUUGUUUAUUCCUUAUAGCAAAUUGAUAUCGACAUAUUUAAUUAAUACAAUAACAGGUAAAGUUUUUCAGUAUUAAUUACGCCGCGAAUCUUAAAAUAGAAGUAGGGCGGUAAACAGGAAAAUUUAACUAAUUGUUAUUAAUUACCAUAAAAAUAUUUAUGUUAAGGCAAAAUUUUAUUUAUUUAUUUCAUCGUUAUUUCUGUUAAUUAAACUUAUAUUCUUAUAUACGUUUAUAAUUAAGAUUCAUGAAAUACGUAUCAAAAAAUAAUUGAAUUUUAAAAAACAUUUACGUGAUCCAUUAGAACAUUGAGGUAAUGUGACAUCAAACAAUAUUAUAAUAUAUUUAAGUGGAAUCGUUCUUCAAACUGUUAUACUUAAUCAUUUUUCCAAAUCAUAUUAUUAUUUUUUUAAAAUAACUACAUGUGUAUUAUUGGAAUUGAUAUAAUCACAUAUACAAGUUACAUAAACAGUAAAACCCGCUUAAGACGAUUUUAAAGAGACCCAAUAAAAAACUCGUAUUAUGUGGGAUAUGCGAAAGAAACGUAUUAUGUACUAAUUUUCGUGUAGGUAUUGACUAAGAUAUUUAUAAUGUAAUAAAGCAAUAAUUAUUUAUUUUAUGUAUUUCUAGAUAAAGCCACAUGAUAAUAAUAUUUAUAAAUAAAUACAUUACAUAUAGGCAAUAAUUUAAUGCUUUUUAACCGGGCAAUGAAACAAAGGUCACUCAUUCAAAUUCGAGGUUGUGAAUAAUAAUAUUAGGAGCGAUCUUACGUUUUUUAAGCUACAUAGAUAUUUCGCCUUACUAUCAAACGUAACUUUUCCGCCCCAUCAGAAUUGACAUAAGUUAGGACAGUCAAUCUCUUUUUACGUGCUUGCCACCAUAGUAAGUUUCUCUCUUUAAGACUUAGGAUAUAUCUGACAAUUUGACAAAUAAAUCGAAUACAUCUUAUUAUCAUUAUAUUAUCGCGUUAAAAAUUUUGCUAGUUCACUAUUUUGAGAUAAUAUGCGUAAAGAUGGCGUAUUAAACGGGAUGAAUCGUAUUAAGCGUGUUAUAAUGUAUGAAAACAUGUCUCAAAUUGCAGAGUAAUGGAAAAUAGCGUAUUAUGCGGGAAAUCGUAUUAAGCGGGUUUAGCUGUAUGCGUGAUAGCGUAGGUAGGUAGGCAAUUGGCUAACGUGGAAAUUCGUUAUUUAGAGUCAAUUUGGCAUACUAUUAUAUUGAGUUCUAAAGGUAUACUAAAUAUAACAUAAUAGAAAAUUAAAAUUAUAACGUGAUAUGAAUAUAUUGAAUAUUUAUGUCGUGUAUAAUACGUGGGUUUUUGAACCGUUUAGAUAUUUUAUCAUAACUGCGUAAUAUAUUUUUUAAAAAAUAAUAUAAUAUAGUAAAACCAAAUUACAGUAAUAUAAUAUGACAAGAUUUUGUUUAUUAAUUACACGUUUUAAUACAAUGUUUGUUGAGUGAAAAUUUCUAAUAGGUGAGCUUGCUGACUUGUUUACGUUUCCAAGAGCAUUAUUCUUAUCGAUUAUUUUAUGAAUAAAAUAUAUUAUAUCUAUACUUACAUAUUUAUACAAGUUAGCAGGGAUCGGAAAUUAAAUACUAUUUUCUACUUCUCUAAAACGUUUUGAUAUCAUAUUUCGUAUUUUUGAUACAUUAAUAUUAUGAUACCCAUACUUCAGUCGAAUUCCUGAUUUUUUUCUGAAAUAAUUUUGCGGACUUACACAUAAAUCAUUUAUAGCAAAAUAGGAGGAAAAAAUACAUGAUUAAGACUGUUUUUUUUUAAACAACCUAGCAAAUGAAAAGACACAAUGAAUAUUUUUACAGAGAUCAUUAUAAAGCGUUACAAUCUUCAUAAAACGUAAAGUUUUAAUAACUUUUAUAUUCUACGAUAAAACAAUUAUCGAAAUAUUACGUAUUUAUGUACACACUAGUAAUUAUUACUAUUUAAAUAGAAGAACAAAAAAUACUUUAUAAGGAAAUAUUAAGCGUCUUACAAAAGAAAGAACAUAGAGGUAUCUAUUUAUUAAAACUAAGAAAAACACAAGAAAUAACGAACAUGCCAUUAGAAACCAUGUAUAAACAUGGCGUAGAAAAUAUAAAAUAUGAAAGUAUUAUAACUUAUGAGACUUAAAACGUGAAAUAUAUGAUGCAAAUUCAUAACGAUUAUAUUAAAUAUUUACCUAUAUAUCCAACACAUAUAUAUAUCUAGGCAUUUAAGCAUAAAAAAUAACAAUUAUACAGAAUUCAAGGUGCGGCGUAAAAUAAAUAUAAGAAACAAAGAAUGCAACGUGAGAUGACUAUCUAGAACAAGUUAAUGAUGUUAAAUGCAGUUUUACGUAACCAAAUGUCAGUUUCACAAAGGAUUACAGAAUAGCGAAAGUAGUCAUAUUUAUUAACCAAGGACUGUAGGUUUUAAAUAUUGGUUGAUGUUUACGAUACUAUGAAACUGUUAUCCUAAGGUUAGAACAAUAUUACUUGGAAACUAGGUUGAAACAUAUAUGAUUAGACAAAUAGCGAAAAUAUACGCAUCAAAAUUGAUAUUUUAGCGUUAUUAUGCAAAGAUGAACAAGCGGAUUCCUAAUAAAGAACAUAAUAAUAUGAUUGUCAAUUUAAAGAUACUUAUGAAUUACCCGUCGGUUUUACUCUGAAAUUAUGUAAUUCUUAAGCAAAUGCUGAUGAAAAAGAGACGUAAACAUGUUGAGAAAGACGAAUGAACAGGACUUUCAACUUUAUACUACUAAAACUUCCAGAUGUUGUAAUAUUGAAAUAUGUGACAUAGAAAUUUAUGCUGUCAGUUUAAACCACGAAAAAAACUCAUCAUGAAAGUAUUAGCUCUAGGCUUUCGUCUAUAUUUCCAAGAUCAAACAUCAGAUAUGUUAUAUUUUAAACAUCAGGGAUAUUUGCAUAUAAGUACAAGACAUCAAUUUAAUCUAAGAAAUUUAUACCUACUUUGAAAGAAAUUUCUUGAGGCUUCGUCGCUAUCUGUCCUCUUACACAUCGGAAUCAGCAAAGGACAAAACAUCGCAAACGUUUGAAUUGAAAUAUUAAUAAUAUAUACUUACUUAUUUAGAGGCAACAAUUUGACCCAGAAUAUUCGAUUAAGAAAUUGUAUUGGUUUUCGUCCAUAUGAGCCUAUUUAAACAUAAAUAUACGUCAGAAUGUAAUAACUUUAGAGAUGACAGAAUGUACCAAUAAUUAGAAACGUACGAUAACAAUACUAGCCAAGGAAAGAUUACUUACUAAUUAAGAAAUGAGUCAUUAGGCUUUCAUCAAUGUGUACCUAGGUAAACAUCACAAUAUAAUUAACAUUACAAACAACAGAAUGUACUAAAUAUCAGAGAUGUGAUAUAUAAGAUUCCGUUUCACUCAAGCAAAAAUAGCUCGUAAAAUAACUGCUAUAUCGAUUACCUUCGUAUGUGCCCAGCUAUAGAUCAGAAAUAAUAGAGUACAUCGGAUGCCUUUAAUAUAUAGGUAUAAAGAUA